UGAUUAGUCUGUACGGUGAACUGGGUUUAGGACAAUGUGGACAUGAUUAGUCUGUACGGUGAACUGGGUUUAGGACAAUGUGGACAGCUUUAGUCUGUACGGUGAACUGGGUUUAGGACAAUGUGGACAGGAUUAGCCUGUACGGUGAACUGGGUUUAGGACAAUGUGGACAUGAUUAGUCUGUACGGUGAACUGGGUUUAGGACAAUGUGGACAGGAUUAGCCUGUACGGUGAACUGGGUUUAGGACAAUGUGGACAGGAUUAGUCUGUAUGGUGAACUGGGUUUAGGACAAUGUGGACCGGAUUAGCCUGUACAGUGAACUGGGUUUAGGACAAUGUGGAUAGGAUUAGUCUGUACGGUGAACUGGGUUUAGGACAAUGUGGACAGGAUUAGCCCGUACAGUGAACUGGUUUAGGACAAUGUGGACAGGAUUAGCCUGUACAGUGAACUGGUUUAGGACAAUGUGGACAUUAUGCACCAUUAUCAUGGUAACAUGGUAACUAAGUACCCUCUGCUAAUAUGUCUGUGUAUGACACAACAGGCCUGAUGAGCAAGUACAGAGAACUGUUAAUAUAGGUUACACUACAGACAUCAUGUUAAUAUAGGUUACACUACAGACAUCAUGUUAAUAUAGGUUACAGACAUCAUGUUAAUAUAGGUUACACUACAGACAUCAUGUUAAUAUAGGUUACACUACAGACAUCAUGUUAAUAUAGGUUACAGACAUCAUGUUAAUAUAGGUUACACUACAGACAUCAUGUUAAUAUAGGUUACAGACAUCAUGUUAAUAUAGGUUACACUACAGACAUCAUGUUAAUAUAGGUUACAGACAUCAUGUUAAUAUAGGUUACAGUACAGACAUCAUGUUAAUAUAGGUUACACUACAGACAUCAUGUUAAUAUAGGUUACACUACAGACAUCAUGUUAAUAUAGGUUACAGACAUCAUGUCAAUAUAGGUUACACUACAGACAUCAUGUUAAUAUAGGUUACACUACAGACAUCAUGUUAAUAUAGGUUACAGACAUCAUGUCAAUAUAGGUUACACUACAGACAUCAUGUUAAUAUAGGUUACACUACAGACAUCAUGUUAAUAUAGGUUACAGACAUCAUGUUAAUAUAGGUUACACUACAGACAUCAUGUUAAUAUAGGUUACAGACAACAUGUUAAUAUAGGUUACAGUACAGACAUCAUGUUAAUAUAGGAUACACUACCGACAUCAUGUUAAUAUAGGUUACACUACAGACAUCAUGUUAAUAUAGGUUACACUACAGACAUCAUGUUAAUAUAGGUUACAGACAUCAUGUUAAUAUAGGUUACAGACAUCAUGUUAAUAUAGGUUACCAUACAGACAUCAUGUUAAUAUAGGUUACACUACAGACAUCAUGUUAAUAUAGGUUACACUACAGAAAUGAUUUGAGGUAGUGCUGAUUGAGCUGUACAUUGUGUUAACAUUACUGUAGAACCUAUUGCAUUUUUCAAAGUCAGCCAGCCAACCACUCAGCCAGCUAGCCAUUCAGCCAUCCGGCCAGUCAGUCAGUCAGCCAGUCAAUCAGCCAUCCAGUCAGCCAGUCAGUCAGUCAGUCAACCAGUCAGUCAGCCAGUCAAUCAGCCAUCCAGUCAGCAAGUCAGCCAUCCAGUCAGCCAGUCAGCCAUCCAGUCAGCCAGUCAGCCAGCCAGGUCAGUCAGUCAGUCAGUCAGCCAUCCAGUCAGCCAGCCAGUCAGUCAGUCAGUCAGUCAGCCAUCCAGUCAGCCAGUCAACCAGUCAGCCAGCCAACCAGUCAGCCAGCUAGCCAUUCAGCCAUCCGGUCAGUCAGUCAGCCAGUCAAUCAGCCAUCCAGUCAGCCAGUCAGUCAGUCAGCCAGUCAAUCAGCCAUCCAGUCAGCAAGUCAGCCAGCCAGUCAGCCAGUCAGCAAGUCAGCCAGCCAGCCAGCCAGUCAGUCAGCCAUCCAGCCAGCCAGUCAGUCAGUCAGUCAGUCAGUCAGUCAGUCAGCCAUCCAGUCAGCCAGUCAACCAGUCAGCCAGCCAUCCAGUCAGACAGUCAGACAGUCAGUCCUCCUACUUUAUCACCUUAGGUCAGGUCUUACCACCAGGAAC
rnacentral:lncRNA from 1 species